UACAGAGGUCUCAAGCGUUGUUCGGAUUCAUUGGGCGUAAAGGGUGCGUAGGCGGCGCGGUAAGUCGGGUGUGAAAUCUCGGGGCUUAACUCCGAGCUUGCAGUCGAUACGGGCAGGCUAGAGUUCGGCAGGGGAGACUGGAAUUCCUGGUGUAGCGGUGAAAUGCGCAGAUAUCAGGAGGAACACCGGUGGCGAAGGCGGGUCUCUGGGACGUGACUGACGCCGAGACGCGAAAGCGUGGGGAGCAAACAGG
rnacentral:rRNA from 1 species